CUCUACCAGCCACAGGGCCUGCUCUACCAGACACAGGGCCUGCUCUACCAGACACAGGGCCUGCUCUACCAGACACAGGGCCUGCUCUGGUUUACUUGGUGUUUGAUGGAGAAGGCGUAACCUUUGAACCCUUUAGUGAGACUGACCAGAGAACGACCAGGUCCUCCGCGCCAAUCAAACCCACAAUCAGUAAUUAUGUUUUUGCACUCAUUUUAUUUGGCACCAAUCCUAUUAAUGUGGGACCCAUGGAUGUUUUGAUUUUGGCUUUACAAAUGUUUUUAAAACAAUCUGGCGUAUUAAUUUAUCAAACAUGUCUUUGAAAUUUGCUCUUGCCCAUAAUUACAUUAUUGCACAUACCUCUGUUAUUAAAUGUACAGUAUUAAGGAGUCUUCAGGCUACUGUUUUGUCAGCGUGUUUCUUUACUGGUCCUGUUUAAUGUCCGUUAACAGUACAAUAGAAAGCCCAUAAUGCAUUGAAACAAUGCAUGCACAAUUAGUCAAAAUAAGACUAAUUAUGAGAGCAAGGGUGUUUCAAUGUGCUUCUAUUUGAGUCAUUUAAACAAAGCUCAGGAUCAAAUGUUUAGUAAAUGACCCUUCAGCCAGAAUCUGUCCACCCAUCUGAAGGGAAUGUCUGUAACUAGAUACAGACCCUUAUAGCGGGUCCACUGUGUCGAUUAAACAGAACAUUCUGGAUUCACUUGAGAGAACAUCCAUCUCUGGGAGAAGACCCUCCUCACCCCCCCUCUUGUUCUCAGUGCUGUCCCUAAACGACAGACGGCAGGCAGGAACUAUUAAUAGCAGCGAGGCUCACAGAGGGGCUGAUGUACAUGAACACACCAUAAACACCGCGAGCAGAACCCAACACCUGCCGCACAGCCUCCGCACGGCGCCGCUCACCGCAGCGCGCCGUUGGUUGGUGGCCGUCAUUAUUAAUAUGCUAUAGACCCCCCCCCCCCAGGUGUAUUUGCGUCCCACUCUAGAGCAAUCUGUUUGGAGAUGUUUGGUGGUGAAUAAUUGACGGGCUGUAUUGGGGGGUCCAGGCUAUAUAUAGAGGAGCAGCAGAGCGUGGGAGGGGUUAUGUAACCACACGUGAGCUCAGACGCACUCUGAUUGGACGCCUGAGAGGAGAGGAGGAAUCAAGAGGAGUGGGGACGGGGAGCCGCUCCUCCUCCUGCUGGCGGUCUGAGGGAGGUGCUCCUCCUCCUGCUGGUGGUCUGAGGGAGGUGCAGCUCCUCCUGCUGGUGGUCUGAAGGAGGUGCAGCUCCUCCUGGUGGUGGUCUGAAGGAGGUGCAGCUCCUCCUCCUGCUGGUGGUCUGAGGGAGGUGCAGCUCCUCCUGCUGGUGGUCUGAAGGAGGUGCAGCUCCUCCUGCUGGUGGUCUGAGGGAGGUGCAGCUCCUCCUGCUGGUGGUCUGAAGGAGGUGCAGCUCCUCCUCCUGCUGGUGGUCUGAAGGAGGUGCAGCUCCUCCUGCUGGUCUGAAGGAGGUGCAGUUCCUCCUCCUGCUGGUCUGAAGGAGGUGCAGCUCCUCCUCCUGCUGGUCUGAAGGAGGUGCAGCUCCUCCUGGUGGUGCUCUGAAAGAGGUGCAGUUCCUCUUGGCCUGAGGACCGUCUCUUAGCUUAGGGCUGAUCCCAGCUACAGGUCUUCCUUACAGUCACAUGAGUAUAUCACGAUUUGUGAUGUCACAAAUCCAUUAAAUGACUUUGUUUCCAACUGUUUUGAGCUGUUUCAUUGGCCAACAAGUCAACAAAUUGUAUUUAUUGAAUGUCCAUCCCUCUUUAUCUGCGCUGUAUUGAACAGAGCAGCAACACACUCUCCUUCCACACUCAAAAGCAGAACUCUUAACUUUUUUUUUGUGUUUUGCAUGACAUUUAUUUUGGUUAUCUUCAUUUAAUUUGCUCCAUGUUAAAUUGUUAUACUUUGUAAGUGUAACAAUUUACACUUACAAAGAUAUUAAAAUGUAAAGAUAUUAAAAUGUGACAUAAG
ensembl:lncRNA